UAGGCGUAUAGCUCAGUUGGUAGAGUCCUGGUCUCCAAAACCAGUUGUCGUGGGUUCAAAUCCUACUGCGCCUGA
rnacentral:tRNA from 1 species